rnacentral:rRNA from 1 species
AUUGAACGCUGGCGGCAUGCCUUACACAUGCAAGUCGAACGGCAGCACGGGUGCUUGCACCUGGUGGCGAGUGGCGAACGGGUGAGUAAUAUAUCGGAACGUACCUUAUUGUGGGGGAUAACGCAGCGAAAGCUGUGCUAAUACCGCAUAAUCCCUAAGGGGGAAAGCGGGGGACCGUAAGGCCUCGCGCAAUUAGAGCGGCCGAUACCUGAUUAGCUAGUUGGUGAGGUAAAGGCUAACCAAGGCAACGAUCAGUAGCUGGUCUGAGAGGACGAUCAGCCACACUGGGACUGAGACACGGCCCAGACUCCUACGGGAGGCAGCAGUGGGGAAUUUUGGACAAUGGGGGCAACCCUGAACCAGCAAUGCCGCGUGAGUGAAGAAGGCCUUCGGGUUGUAAAGCUCUUUUGUCAGGGAAGAAACACCGGCUCUAACACAGUCUGGGAAUGACGGUACCUGAAGAAUAAGCACCGGCUAACUACGUGCCAGCCGCCGCAGUAA